UACGUAGGGGGCAAGCGUUGUCCGGAUUUAUUGGGCGUAAAGCGCUCGCAGGUGGUUCGUCGCGUCGUGCGUGAAAGACCCCGGCUCAACUGGGGAGGGUCGUGCGAUACGGGCGGACUGGAGGCCAGUAGGGGGAUGCGGAAUUCCGGGUGUAGUGGUGGAAUGCGUAGAGAUCCGGAGGAACACCAGCGGCGAAGGCGGCAUCCUGGACUGGUCCUGACACUCAGGAGCGAAAGCGUGGGGAGCGAUCCGG
rnacentral:rRNA from 2 species